rnacentral:rRNA from 1 species
CACGUAGGCACCAAGCGUUGUCCGGAUUUAUUGGGCGUAAAGAGCUCGUAGGCGGUUCAGUAAGUCGGGUGUGAAAACUUUGGGCUUAACCCAAAGCGUGCAUCUGAUACUGCUGUGACUUGAGUUCGGUAGGGGAGUGGGGAAUUCCUAGUGUAGCGGUGAAAUGCGCAGAUAUUAGGAGGAACACCGGUGGCGAAGGCGCCACUCUGGGCUGAAACUGACGCUGAGGAGCGAAAGCAUGGGUAGCAAACAGG